rnacentral:tRNA from 1 species
GGGGUUGUGGCUCAGCAGUAGAGCACUCGCCUAGCACAUGAAAGCCCUGGGUUUAAACCUCAGCACCUCUU